rfam:Triticum aestivum genome assembly, contig: Triticum_aestivum_CS42_TGACv1_scaffold_034160_1BL
AUUCUACUCCCUCCAUUGCACAAUACAUGCCUUCUAUUUGUCAAAAUAUAUAUGUAUCUAGACAUGUUUUAGUAUAUAGGUACAUCCAUUUUUGGACAAAUGGAAGUCAGAUAUUUUGGAACGGAGGGAGUACACA